AGUAAUGUAUGGGGAUCUGCCUGAUGGCGGGGGAUAACUACUGGAAACGGUAGCUAAUACCGCAUAAUGUCUGCGGACCGAAGCGGGGGACCUCCGGGCCUCGCGCCAUCAGAUGAACCCAUAUGGGAUUAGCUAGUAGGUGAGGUAACGGCUUACCUAGGCGACGAUCCCUAGCUGGUCUGAGAGGAUGAUCAGCCACACUGGGACUGAGACACGGCCCAG
rnacentral:rRNA from 1 species